rnacentral:lncRNA from 1 species
AAUUGUACUAGAAAUAUAAAUUUCUUGGUGACUUUUCAUUAUCCUUGAUUACUGGAGAAUUACUUGACUUUAAAAAAAAAAAGAAAAAAAAGAGCUUGUGAAGUCUGUUGGUGGUCGUAACUCACUUACCCUGAGGAGCGUCCCGACCUUAGACCAGGCAUGUGGAAAAAAAAAAGAAUAAAAAAUUAUAUAUAGUAGUAUUAUAGAAAUAAAAAGAAGACGUGGAAAUCCCUUGUAAACUUGAAUGAUAGCUAGU